UACCUUCGGGUACUGGAGAGUGGCGCACGGGUGAGUAACGCGUGGGGACCUACCUCUUAGUGGGGGAUAACGGUUGGAAACGACCGCUAAUACCGCAUACGCCCUUCGGGGGAAAGAUUUAUCGCUAAGAGAUGGACCCGCGUUGGAUUAGAUAGUUGGUGAGGUAACGGCUCACCAAGUCGGCGAUCCAUAGCUGGUUUGAGAGGAUGAUCAGCCACACUGGGACUGAGACACGGCCCAGACUCCUACGGGAGGCAGCAGUGGGGAAUAUUGGACAAUGGGGGCAACCCUGAUCCAGCCAUGCCGCGUGAGUGAAGAAGGCCUUCGGGUUGUAAAGCUCUUUCAGAUGCGAAGAUGAUGACGGUAACAUCAGAAGAAGCCCCGGCUAAUUUCGUGCCAGCAGCCGCGGUAAUACGAAAGGGGCUAGCGUUGUUCGGAUUUACUGGGCGUAAAGGGCACGCAGGCGGUCUUGCCAGUCAGGGGUGAAAGCCCGGGGCUCAACCCCGGAACUGCCUCUGAUACUGUGAGACUAGAGACUAGGAGAGGGUGGUGGAAUUCCCAGUGUAGAGGUGAAAUUCGUAGAUAUUGGGAGGAACACCAGAGGCGAAGGCGGCCACCUGGACUAGAUCUGACGCUCAGGUGCGAAAGCGUGGGGAGCAAACAGGAUUAGAUACCCUGGUAGUCCACGCCGUAAACGAUGAGUGCUAGUUGUCGGGACUUCGGUUUCGGUGACGCAGCUAACGCAUUAAGCACUCCGCCUGGGGAGUACGGUCGCAAGAUUAAAACUCAAAGGAAUUGACGGGGGGCCCGCACAAGCGGUGGAGCAUGUGGUUUAAUUUGAAGCAACGCGCAGACCCUUACCAACCCUUGACAUCCAUAUCCAGAUUACCAGAGAAGGUUUUCAUCAGUUCGGAUGGAUAGGUGACAGGUCCUGCAUGGCGGUGGUCAGUUUGUGUCGUGAGAUGUUGGGUUAAGUCCCUCAACGAGCGCAACCCCUGUUCCUAGUUGCCAGCAUUCAGUUGGGCACUCUAGGGAGACUGCCGGUGACAAGCCGGAGGAAGGCGGGGAUGACGUCAAGUCCUCAUGGCCCUUACGGGUUGGGCUACACACGUGCUACAAUGGUAACUCCAGAGGGCAGCGACUUAGCGAUAAGUAGCCAAUCCCAAAAAGUUAUCUCAGUUCGG
rnacentral:rRNA from 1 species